GAUGAAGAACGUAGCGAAAUGCGAUACGUAAUGUGAAUUGCAGAAUUCAGUGAAUCAUCGAGUCUUUGAACGCACAUUGCGCCCCCUGGUAUUCCGGGGGGCAUGCCUGUCCGAGCGUCAUUGCUGCCCUCAAGCCCGGCUUGUGUGUUGGGUCUCGUCCCCCUUCCCGGGGGGACGGGCCCGAAAGGCAGCGGCGGCACUGCGUCCGGUCCUCGAGCGUAUGGGGCUUUGUCACCCGCUCUGUAGGCCCGGCCGGCGCUUGCCGAUCAACCAAAACUUUUUUCCAGGUUGACCUCGGAUCAGGUAGGAAUACCCGCUGAACUUAAGCAUAUCAAUAAGCGGAGGA
rnacentral:misc_RNA from 1 species